UCCGGUUGAUCCUGCCAGAGGUUACUGCUAUCGGAGUUCGAGUAAGCCAUGCGAGUCUAAAGGUUUCUUCGGAAACCUUGGCGGACUGCUCAGUAACACGUGGUUAACCUACCCUUAGGACUGGAAUAACCCCGGGAAACUGGGGAUAAUACCGGAUAGAUCAGGGAUGCUGGAAUGCACCUUGAUCCAAAGCCCCGGCGCCUAAGGAUGGGUCUGCGGCCUAUCAGGUUGUAGUGGGUGUAAUGUACCUACUAGCCAACGACGGGUACGGGUUGUGAGAGCAAGAGCCCGGAGAUGGAUUCUGAGACACGAAUCCAGGCCCUACGGGGUGCAGCAGGCGCGAAACCUUUACAAUGUGCGAAAGCAUGAUAAGGGAACUCCGAGUGCCAGUAUCUAAUACUGGCUGUCCUUGUGCCUAAAACGCACAAGAUAGCAAGGGCCGGGUAAGACCGGUGCCAGCCGCCGCGGUAACACCGGCGGCCCGAGUGGUAGCCGCUAUUAUUGGGUCUAAAGGGUCCGUAGCCGGUUCGAUAAGUCCUCUGGGAAAUCUGGUUGCUUAACAAUCAGACUGCCAAGGGAUACUGUCGAACUUGAGACCGGGAGAGGUAUGAGGUACUUCAGGGGUAGGAGUGAAAUCUUGUAAUCCCUGGGGGACCAUCUGUGGCGAAGGCGUCUUACCAGAACGGGUCUGACGGUGAGGGACGAAAGCUGGGGGCGCAAACCGGAUUAGAUACCCGGGUAGUCCCAGCCGUAAACGAUGCUCGCUAUGUGUCAGGUACGGUGUGACCGUAUCUGGUGCCGUAGGGAAGCCGUGAAGCGAGCCACCUGGGAAGUACGGCCGCAAGGCUGAAACUUAAAGGAAUUGGCGGGGGAGCACUACAACGGGUGGAGCCUGCGGUUUAAUUGAAUUCCACGCCGGG
rnacentral:rRNA from 1 species